rnacentral:rRNA from 1 species
UAGGGAAUCUUCGGCAAUGGGGGGAACCCUGACCGAGCAACGCCGCGUGAGUGAAGAAGGUUUUCGGAUCGUAAAGCUCUGUUGUUAAGGAAGAACGAGUGUGAGAAUGGAAAGUUCAUACUGUGACGGUACUUAACCAGAAAGGGACGGCUAACUACGUGCCAGCAGCCGCGGUAAUACGUAGGUGGCAAGCGUUGUCCGGAUUUAUUGGGCGUAAAGCGAGCGCAGGCGGUCAAUUAAGUCUGAUGUGAAAGCCCCCGGCUCAACCGGGGAGGGUCAUUGGAAACUGUUUAACUUGAGUGCAGAAGGGGAGAGUGGAAUUCCAUGUGUAGCGGUGAAAUGCGUAGAUAUAUGGAGGAACACCGGUGGCGAAAGCGGCUCUCUGGUCUGUAACUGACGCUGAGGCUCGAAAGCGUGGGGUGCGAACAGG